rnacentral:rRNA from 1 species
UGAGGAACAUGACCUUCGGCGGGGGAUAGCCGGCCCAACGGCCGGGUAAUACCGCGUACGACCACAUGGGGACAUCCCUGAGUGGUGAAAGCAGCAAUGCGCCGAUGGAGUGCCUCGCGGCCUAUCAGCUAGUUGGUGAGGUAACGGCUCACCAAGGCGACGACGGGUAGCUGGUCUGAGAGGGUGACCGGCCACACUGGGACUGAGACACGGCCCAGACUCCUACGGGAGCAG